AAAGUAAGGGUGAAAAGUGAAGUAUGGAGCAGGUGCUAGGGCAGGUAUAGCUGGAUCAGAAUCCGGUUAAUAAGCUUGAUCAAGUCAAGGAACUGUACAGUAUAAGAAGAAGCCAUUAUGUGUUUAGGGUAUAGAUUUUGGUAAGAUUCCUUCCCCCUUUAUAGACUCGGCGCGUAGGGGAGCUCCAAGUGAAAGUCCUGUUUCUUUAGUUGGAAAGUCAGCAGCGGAAUUGCCUGUGAGAGUUUCAUCUCUAAGAUCAGAUGCCAGAGACGGAUCCGUUCGAAAGUCAUUGUAAGCGAGAGAAUCGGCUGUUAGCUUUGGAGUAAAGGAAUAAAGUACUGGCAAGGAAGCGAGGUGGCCUGAUGCAGAAGAAUUGAGCUCUGUAAGAUAGAAUCUGUAACUAACCCACCUAAGUGCUCCUUACUUAAAUUAGAUUUCAUAAGGGUGCUCUGCUCCUCCCCCGCAUCUAAGAAUGAUACUAAAAAGUCAAAAUUCUACUCCAAGGUAAAGGUCCGAAACAGAAGAAGUAGUUUCAAGAUCAGAACUGGCUUUUAGAAUGGAAUUGCAGGGAAUGAAUUUGGAAUGCUCAUCUCUCAAGCAUCGGUAGAGUAUAAAGUAAGAGUUACGCUUGUCUGCAGCAAUUCUUGUUUAAUCCCUUGUUAAAGCCUAUUAAUAAGCUCAUCUCUCUCUGAUAGAAUCAACGGCGAAAGAACAAGCUGUGUAUUGGUAUAUUUAAUAUAAAUAGUAGGGUCAUUAGAGAAUCAGAGGAUUUAGCUAUGAAGUCUGCUGAGCUAUAAAGUGAGAGAAAGUAGAAAACAGAAUACUUAUCAUAUAGCCCAAGUAUUUGUAAGUAUCAGAAUAGUAAGUAUAUGAAUAAGACAAGUCAGAAUGCAGGCGACGAACACAGUGUCAUUAAUCCUUCCUCGGGACAAGAAGUUGAAUACGCAGGAGAUGUAGCAUCAGUAGCAGCAGUACCAGUCUGUUAGGCAGUGCUAUCAGCCUUAGACUCCCUGGGUUAAGCCUUACCCCGACCAGUUCCAUUAUGGGUUGUACUCGUUUCAAUUCUUGGAUUCACUGUUUUGGUUCUUUAACUACCUCGUUUAAGCCACCAA
rnacentral:lncRNA from 1 species